rnacentral:misc_RNA from 1 species
GUUUCUUUCGAGAGCUUAAGCGAAAACACAGUUCACCAGCGCAGCUACAUCGCAGUCCUCCUUGUACCGUACAAUCUGCCUCGCCUACCCACUCUGAACACAUAUACCCUCAUUCCGACGCCUGUUUCUGUGACUCUUCAUAAUGCGCCGCUCCCAGGCGUGCUUCUUCCAUGUCGCUGUGCUCGGUGCUGCCGGUGGCAUCGGCCAGCCCUUGUCGCUCCUCCUCAAAAAUAACAAGUACGUGAAGGAGCUGAAGCUGUACGAUGUCAAGGGCGCCCCUGGUGUGGCUGCGGACCUCUCCCACAUCUGCGCUCCAGCGAAGGUGACUGGCUACACGAAGGAUGAGCUCUCAAGGGCUGUCGAGGGCGUUGACGUUGUGGUGAUCCCCGCUGGCAUCCCCCGCAAACCGGGGAUGACGCGCGACGACCUUUUCCACACGAACGCCAGCAUCGUGCGCGAUCUCGCCAUCGCCGUUGGCACGCACGCGCCGAAGGCAAUUGUUGGUAUUAUCACGAACCCCGUCAACAGCACUGUGCCAGUGGCUGCUGAGGCGCUGAAGAAGGUCGGCGUGUACGACCCUGCGCGCCUCUUUGGCGUCACCACACUCGACGUUGUCCGUGCCCGCACCUUCGUCGGAGAGGCGCUUGGCAAGUCCCCCCUGGAGCUCGACAUCCCCGUUGUUGGCGGCCACAGCGGUGAGACGAUUGUGCCGUUGCUCUCAGGCUUCCCGUCGCUGUCGGAGGAGCAGGUGCGGCAGCUGACGCACCGCAUCCAGUUUGGUGGUGAUGAGGUGGUGAAGGCCAAGGAUGGUGCGGGCUCGGCGACGCUGUCCAUGGCCUUCGCAGGCAACGAGUGGACGACGGCGGUGCUGCGCGCCCUCAGUGGCGAGAAGGGUGUUGUGGUGUGCACGUACGUGCAGAGCACCGUGGAGCCGUCGUGCGCCUUCUUCAGCUCGCCGGUGUUGCUGGGCAACAGUGGUGUGGAAAAGAUCUACCCUGUGCCGAUGCUGAACUCAUACGAAGAGAAGCUGAUGGCCAAGUGCUUGGAGGGUCUGCAGGGCAACAUUAAGAAGGGCAUCGCGUUUGGCAACAAGUAAGCUCGACGCCUGCUUCGCAGCUAUCCGACGAUGCGACGGUAUUUUGCAGGCACACAACUGCAAUGAUGCGGUGACGUUUGCCGCUACGAUGGCUAGAGGGCCCAGCAGCGGAUCGGCACACUGACGCGGCGUCGUUGAUGCGGCCCUUUUUGGCGUUUGGUUGCUCCCCCGCUCAGCGCCGGGCCAUGCCGCUGCCACUCCUCUACCGCCCUCUAACCCACCCCCUCGCGCCCUUGUGCGGCAACGUCCCCUCUCCCUCAUUUUCUCACUCCCCUUUGGCUGACGUCCAG